rnacentral:lncRNA from 1 species
UUAGUACAUCUUCAACACAAAACCCCCCUCUUUUAUUUACUUGUUAUUUACUUGACCUAGUCAUUAUUAGGAAAAUCAUUGGUGUCAAUUCCCUGUGGUUCGACCCUAUUGCCACUAUCUACAAGUUUAUUGUUGAUUGUUUAAUAGGUUUAUUUUUGACGGCUUCGACAACCGCCUAUCAGCAUACGAUAUGAAAUGCCUUGAGAUGUUUAUAGAGAUUCUCAUUCUUCUUCUCAUAGAAUGAGAUGUUUAUAGAGAUCCUCAUUCUUCUUCUCAUAGAAUUUGGGUAGGAGGUGUAUCAGCCUGACUUCAGUUCAAAGACUCCCUGCAGAGGUGGAUAAUUUAUGCAAAGGAGAGCUUCGUUAACUGGGGCUGUUACUAAGUCACAAUGGGUCCUUUCUUCAAUCAUGCCGGGUUGGUUCCUUAGUGGUGGUGCAAGGUGGUGCAAGAUGAUUCACGACUACGGAUGGUGCUUCUUUCUCAGCGAUGAGAGUGUCUUCAGUUAAUGUUUUUUUUAAUGGUCAGUGCUCUUUCUUUCGCUGUUCCAGACGUGCUACCAACGACCUGUUUCAGCUUUGCUUCUUUCCUCAAGCUUUGUGCAGUUCUUUCAAUUUCAAGAUCGAAAAGAAGUUGUUCUGUUUGAUCAGACCUACCUAGUCAUUUAUAAAAUAAAAUGAGUUCAUCACCGUUUUCCGGCAACGGCACCAAAAUUUGUUGGGUGUUGAAUCCACCAAAAAUAAAUCAUGCCCUUUCUAAUGUAGAUAUUGUGGGUAGGUUCAAAUCCACAAAGAAUGGGUUAACCACUGUAUUUUUGUUUUGUGAUAGCAUAUGUGGAAAAAGGCGAAUGAUGCUCUCACAACCUGCUUUAUGAUGGACUUGUCCAACUUAUCACUUUGACGACCUAUCGACUUGUUGACCGACUUGUUAGAAAAUUGACUUGUUGAUGACCAGAUGAUCAGUCUUGUGACUAAACAAUCUGUCGAUCUGCUUGACCGACCUAACGAUCUCUUGGUGAUGACCUGUUGGCCGCACGACUUGAAGACAUGUUGACUGCACGUCUUAAAGAUCCACUUGUCAACUUAUCGAGCGUCUGACUACCUUAUGCCUAGCUUUAAAGCAAAACAAAUUAAACUGUAAAUAUAAUGGGGUUUUUAAAAAGAUUUGACUGGAUGCAAAAGUAAACUAAUAAAUAAUAAAUAAUUAAAAGAGAUUAAUCAGAGUAAGAAAAUAUCUAACUUCGAGAAUAUCUUGGUGUUAAUUCUCUGGAUUAAUCAUAGGCGCAAGAAUGUUCGAUCUCAAUUUCUGACCAGCCAGUUAUAAUAUGGUCUAACAACCUAAUCUUCUCUUAGAUAAAAGACCGAAAAUGAUCAGCUCACUAGUCAGCCCCUAAUCAUCAAACAAACCACAUGAUUAGCUCAAUGAGAUUUUAGUUUGAUAAUAGAAUUAAAAACUAGAAAGACCUGACUCCGACCAAGAAGCUCACUCAGCGCGGUUGUGAAAUCAAAAUACGUUAUUCCAUAAUAAAAUAUUGUUUGUCACAAAUAUCAAACUCACAAGUGAUUACAGACUUAAUGAAUCUGAAUGACUGUAUAUUAUUCAUUCAACUAAACAAUUGGUCAAACUGCAUCAAUUAAACAAAUAAUAAUCUCAAGAAUAAAAGAAAUAAUAUAGAAAUGAGAAGGAAAAGAUUAAGCUCGAUCCGUGCGAAUUACCCCCUUGAAAACUUCUUUAAAAAUAAAGAAAAUAAAAUCUCUUUAAAAGGAGAAGAUGACCCCUAAAAUUCUGAUUUUUCUGAAAUCAUUCUUUUUCAAAUUGGACUUUGUCAAUCAUAUCCGUAAAUCCCAUGACAUUUCAUAAAUCAUGCCCGCGGUCUUGUGUACAAGGUCUGCCUUGUCCGAGGUCGGCUUGCGAGAGGUCUGCUUUGCGAGAGAUAAGACGAGGUCUGCUGAGGUCGGCCUUGCAAGAGGUCUGCCCUGUAAGAGGUCGGCUUUGCUCGAAAUCAGUUCCCUGAUUCCUACUCUAAUUUCUGCCUAAAUCUUUCAAUUAAGAGUUUUUUUUCCUAAAGUAUAUAAUCUGUCAAUGUUGCAGGAAGAAAAUAAAUGAAUGUGCAUUAAAUAGGCAGAAUAUACACCCUGUCAAUUUGCUCUAUUUAUUUCCCUGUUUUUCCUCUCGUAAGAUCACAGAUUCCAUCAUCAUAAGGUGGACAGGCUGAUUGAUUAUUCUCUUUUUUGUUGUUUCUGUUAGUUCAAAACUUUCUGCUUAACAAUUAAGAAUGUGCGACUCUGAUUCUUGCGUUUCUUGGAUCUGUUUUAGUGUGUGUUGAUGAAUUCAUGGACUUAAUGGAAUGGAGGAUCGCCAAUUCAACAAUCUGUACCAACGAAUGUACCAAUGAAGGCCCAGGAACUCUAUCCCAUAUUCAUCUGUUUCUAAGGUUUUGAGUGGGAUAUAAUGUCAAGAUGGAUGAAGAAAGUAAAGAUUCUGCCAGAUGGAGAUUGGGAUUUCUCGGUUGAUUCUAUGCUUUGCGAGUCAAAUUCAAGACUAAUCCCAUCUGGUUUUGCUAGUUCAAAUUGCACAGGUCAGUAUUGUGGAACAUCAUGCUAUUUAUGCUGCAAACUCUGCCUUUUCUCUGCUUAGUAAUAAAUUAUGACUGUGGAAGGGAAUAUCCUCUUCAUAAGCAUUUGAAAAUGGAGAAUUCUCAUGAAAUUAUCUACCUACUUUUCAAUGGUUAUAUAUCAGCAAAUACACUGCUGUUAGGAUUAUAGGCUGCCGCUUACUUUUGCAAAUUGCUGCAUAGAAUUUUGUUUAUUCUGGAGUUUUAACACUUCUAUGAGAUACCAUGUUUGCUUAACCAUAGAUAUGCACCUACACUUUAUGUUCAUGUUCUUGUUUGUUCUGUGUUUACUCUCUUCUCUAUGUCUUGUUUUAAUUUCUUAUCUAUAUUUUUAUUUUCAAAUAUUUUAAUUCAUCAAUAUUGAAAAUGUGAUUAGUCCGAUCUUUUGUAGGAGCUACCCGUAAUAGCGAACUUAAAAAAUGAAUCUCUUUAUCAUAAAGAGAUUCGAUGUUCCUCACCCUGCA